rnacentral:siRNA from 1 species
CGCGGCGACGUGGGUGGUU